UACGUAGGGCGCGAGCGUUGUCCGGAAUCAUUGGGCGUAAAGAGCUCGUAGGCGGCCGGUUGCGUCUGCUGUGAAAUCCCGGGGCUUAACCCCGGGCGUGCAGUGGAUACGGGCUGGCUGGAGGCAGGCAGGGGAGAAUGGAAUUCCUGGUGUAGCGGUGAAAUGCGCAGAUAUCAGGAGGAACACCGAUGGCGAAGGCAGGUCUCUGGGCAUUAACUGACGCUGAGGAGCGAAAGCAUGGGGAGCGAACAGG
rnacentral:rRNA from 1 species